GAUGAAGAACGUAGCGAAAUGCGAUAAGUAAUGUGAAUUGCAGAAUUCAGUGAAUCAUCGAAUCUUUGAACGCACAUUGCGCCCGCUGGUAUUCCAGCGGGCAUGCCCGUUCGAGCGUCAUUUGUACCCUCAAGCUUUGCUUGGUGUUGGGCGUCUUGUCUCUAGCUUUGCUGGAGACUCGCCUUAAAGUAAUUGGCAGCCGGCCUACUGGUUUCGGAGCGCAGCACAAGUCGCACUCUCUAUCAGCAAAGGUCUAGCAUCCAUUAAGCCUUUUUUUCAACUUUUGACCUCGGAUCAGGUAGGGAUACCCGCUGAACUUAAGCAUAUCAAUAAGCGGAGGA
rnacentral:misc_RNA from 1 species